GAUUUUCUUCAUAUCUAGGCAAUAUGAGUGCAAUCGAAAUGCUCAAAUAGUGAAGUAGAUGCAAAAGACUGAGAGAAUAUGGGACCUUUCUUUAGAAAAUGAUGAGGAAGAGGAGGCAGAAUUUAAAGCUAAAACAAAACAGGAAGUGAAUGCUCCAAAAGAUUUACCUCCACAACUCCUAUUUGUUCAUCAGGGACAAAAAGACUUGAAAUAACUUCAUUGGCAUUCACAAAUUCCUGGCAUGAUCGUACAGCUGCAGCAGAUGGUUAUAAUAUUCUGAUGCCUUUAAACAUACAGACCACCUUCCCUCCGAUGGUCCUAUAAAGUUUUGAUAUCAGUAUGCUUCGUCCACUGCAAAGAGUAGAUGCAUCAGAUCAUGUUCCAAUAAUGGGAUGGAUGAAUGCGUUAUGCUGAAGCAAUUACAUACAAGUGACAUUUUGUCUCUUUACCCUUUUCUUCCGUUCUCCCCAUUUUGGGGGUUUGGUUGUGUAUGGAGUUUAAAUGGGACAUCUAAACUCUUUGCCUAAAGUUUUUGUAUUACAGGAAGUUUUAAAUGUCAUCAAGUUUAAUUAUCUCA